rnacentral:misc_RNA from 1 species
GAUGAAGAACGCAGCGAAAUGCGAUAAGUAAUGCGAAUUGCAGAAUUUCCGUGAGUCAUCGAAUCUUUGAACGCACAUUGCGCCUACUGGUAUUCCGGUGGGCAUGCCUGUUCGAGCGUCAUUAUCCUCCCUCAAACCCCGGGUUUGGUGUUGGACCCAAGUUGUGUGAACAACUGGUCUCAAAGACAAUGACGGCGUCCGUGGGACCCUCGGUGCAACGAGCUUUUAGGAGCACGCAUCGAGUUGCAAGGACCUUCCGGGCCGGUCUCCUUUACCAUUUUACAAGGUUGACCUCGGAUCAGGUAGGAAUACCCGCUGAACUUAAGCAUAUCAAUAAGCGGAGGA